ACACUCCUGCGGGAGGCAGCAGUGGGGAAUAUUGGACAAUGGGCGCAAGCCUGAUCCAGCCAUGCCGCGUGAGUGAUGAAGGCCCUAGGGUUGUAAAGCUCUUUCACCGGUGAAGAUAAUGACGGUAACCGGAGAAGAAGCCCCGGCUAACUUCGUGCCAGCAGCCGCGGUAAUACGAAGGGGGCUAGCGUUGUUCGGAUUUACUGGGCGUAAAGCGCACGUAGGCGGACUAUUAAGUCAGGGGUGAAAUCCCGGGGCUCAACCCCGGAACUGCCUUUGAUACUGGUAGUCUUGAGUUCGAGAGAGGUGAGUGGAAUUCCGAGUAUAGAGGUGAAAUUCGUAGAUAGUCGGAGGAACACCAGUGGCGAAGGCGGCUCACUGGCUCGAUACUGACGCUGAGGUGCGAAAGCGUGGGGAGCAAACAGGAUUAGAUACCCCAGUAGUCCCAUGAU
rnacentral:rRNA from 1 species